GGCUGAGUGCUGUAGGGAGAGUAUGUGUGAAGAGAAAAGCAAGGCUGCAACAGCCCGCUGAAGCGUGCUCAAGGUCAGCCCCCCUCACAGAAGACCAAGAGGUCACGUUUGACUUAGAAGGAAUCACGAAGAUCAGUUUCAUGAGUGACAUAACUGGAGCCAUUAGGAAGCUCAUCCAAGAGUAAUCAUCCAUCAAAGGCACUCAGCCCAGGGGUGUGCUUGCCACCCUUCAGCAAUGGAUGAAGCGGGCAGUGACUCCACCAGCAUGAGUAUGCAGGAGGUCACUUUCUCCACAACCAGUGCUGCUCCAGCAGAUCGAUAGGUGAAAAGCAACCCAAACUGGUUUGAAACAUGGAGUACCUCUCACAUGGUCAUUGAGAGGAAGACUUUCUGGACAGUCUCUAUGAAACCUCAACACUGUUUUGGAUUGGUAUUUACUUCCAAGCGUGCCAGCAGUGCCAACAUGACAAAAGAGAACUAGGAGUAAGGGCUACAGCUGCUCCUCUAACAUUGCUGGGACAGCCUCCAGAAUAAAUUUCCAGCUCCUACUUGUACUGGAUAUAUCUUCUAUGCCAAUGCCUCUGGAAGGGACCUGAACUGGAGGAGGUUUGGCACUUCAUCUGUGCUGUGUAGAAUCCAGCAAUAAAUUAUUCCAGUAUGAAGG